AACGAACGCUGGCGGCAUGCCUAACACAUGCAAGUCGAACGAAGCCUUCGGGCUUAGUGGCGCACGGGUGCGUAACGCGUGGGAAUCUGCCCUUGGGUUCGGAAUAACAGUUAGAAAUGACUGCUAAUACCGGAUGAUGUCUUCGGACCAAAGAUUUAUCGCCCAAGGAUGAGCCCGCGUAGGAUUAGGUAGUUGGUGGGGUAAUGGCCCACCAAGCCGACGAUCCUUAGCUGGUCUGAGAGGAUGAUCAGCCACACUGGGACUGAGACACGGCCCAGACUCCUACGGGAGGCAGCAGUGGGGAAUAUUGGACAAUGGGCGAAAGCCUGAUCCAGCAAUGCCGCGUGAGUGAUGAAGGCCUUAGGGUUGUAAAGCUCUUUUACCAGGGAUGAUAAUGACAGUACCUGGAGAAUAAGCUCCGGCUAACUCCGUGCCAGCAGCCGCGGUAA
rnacentral:rRNA from 1 species